GUGGGGAAUUUUGGACAAUGGGCGAAAGCCUGAUCCAGCCAUGCCGCGUGCAGGAUGAAGGCCUUCGGGUUGUAAACUGCUUUUGUACGGAACGAAAAGACUCCUUCUAAUAAAGGGGGUCCAUGACGGUACCGUAAGAAUAAGCACCGGCUAACUACGUGCCAGCAGCCGCGGUAAUACGUAGGGUGCAAGCGUUAAUCGGAAUUACUGGGCGUAAAGCGUGCGCAGGCGGUUAUAUAAGACAGAUGUGAAAUCCCCGGGCUCAACCUGGGAACUGCAUUUGUGACUGUAUAGCUAGAGUACGGCAGAGGGGGAUGGAAGUCCGCGUGUAGCAGUGAAAUGCGUAGAUAUGCGGAGGAACACCGAUGGCGAAGGCAAUCCCCUGGGCCUGUACUGACGCUCAUGCACGAAAGCGUGGGGAGCAAACAGGAUUAGAAACCCCGGUAGUCC
rnacentral:rRNA from 1 species